rnacentral:rRNA from 1 species
UACGUAGGGUGCGAGCGUUGCCCGGAUUUAUUGGGCGUAAAGGGCGCGCAGGCGGCUACGCACGUCCGUUGUGAAAUCGCUCGGCUCAACUGGGCGGGGUCAGCGGAUACGGCGUAGCUGGAGCAAGCUAGGGGGCAAUGGAAUUCCAGGUGUAGCGGUGGAAUGCGUAGAUAUCUGGAAGAACACCAGUGGCGAAGGCGGCCUUCUGGACUGACACUGACGCUGAGGCGCGAAAGCUAGGGGAGCAAACAGG